rnacentral:ncRNA from 1 species
AUAAAACCGAUGAGCAAGAGAAGUAACCUUUUGAAACAUUUACAGAGAGCUGCAGGUGGUGGGAUUGCAGUAUUGGGAAGAAUGGCGAAUGGGCUUGCGAGGGCAAACUGAAAUGAUAAAAAGUAGGGGCGACGGGUGCUGGACGUUAUAGCAGCUAAUGUAUGUUUGUACAUAAUGAGAGCAUUCGGAAGAAUGAAUUUAGGUGGUACCGCAGAAGAGUAUAUCUCCUGUCCUAUAG